GGCGGACGGGUGAGUAACACGUGGGUAACCUACCUAUAAGACUGGAAUAACUCCGGGAAACCGGGGCUAAUGCCGGAUAACAUGUUGAACCGCAUGGUUCUACAGUGAAAGACGGUCUUGCUGUCACUUAUAGAUGGACCCGCGCCGUAUUAGCUAGUUGGUGGGGUAACGGCCUACCAAGGCGACGAUACGUAGCCGACCUGAGAGGGUGAUCGGCCACACUGGAACUGAGACACGGUCCAGACUCCUACGGGAGGCAGCAGUAGGGAAUCUUCCGCAAUGGGCGAAAGCCUGACGGAGCAACGCCGCGUGAGUGAUGAAGGUCUUCGGAUCGUAAAGCUCUGUUGUUAGGGAAGAACAAAUGUGUAAGUAACUGUGCACAUCUUGACGGUACCUAACCAGAAAGCCACGGCUAACUACGUGCCAGCAGCCGCGGUAAUACGUAGGUGGCAAGCGUUAUCCGGAAUUAUUGGGCGUAAAGCGCGCGUAGGCGGUUUUUUAAGUCUGAUGUGAAAGCCCACGGCUCAACCGUGGAGGGUCAUUGGAAACUGGAAAACUUGAGUGCAGAAGAGGAAAGUGGAAUUCCAUGUGUAGCGGUGAAAUGCGCAGAGAUAUGGAGGAACACCAGUGGCGAAGGCGGCUUUCUGGUCUGCAACUGACGCUGAUGUGCGAAAGCGUGGGGAUCAAACAGAGAUUAGAUACCCUGGUAGUCCACGCCGUAAACGAUGAGUGCUAAGUGUUAGGGGGGUUUCCGCCCCUUAGUGCUGCAGCUAACACAUUAAGCACUCCCGCCUGGGGAGUACGGUCGCAAGACUGAAACUCAAAGGAAUUGACGGGGACCCGCACAAGCGGUGGAGCAUGUGGUUUAAUUCGAAGCAACGCGAAGAGCACUACCAAAUCUUGACAUCCCCUGACCGCUCUAGAGAUAGAGU
rnacentral:rRNA from 1 species